rnacentral:rRNA from 1 species
AGCGAACGCUGGCGGCAGGCCUAACACAUGCAAGUCGAACGAACCUUUCGGGGUUAGUGGCGGACGGGUGAGUAACACGUGGGAACGUGCCCUUAGGUUCGGAAUAACUCAGGGAAAGUUGUGCUAAUACCGAAUGUGCCCUUCGGGGGAAAGAUUUAUCGCCUUUAGAGCGGCCCGCGUCUGAUUAGCUAGUUGGUUGAGGUAAUGGCUCACCAAGGCGACGAUCAGUAGCUGGUCUGAGAGGAUGAUCAGCCACAUUGGGACUGAGACACGGCCCAAACUCCUACGGGAGGCAGCAGUGGGGAAUCUUGCGCAAUGGGCGAAAGCCUGACGCAGCCAUGCCGCGGGAAUGAUGAAGGUCUUAGGAUUGUAAAAUUCUUUCACCGGGGACGAUAAUGACGGUACCCGGAGAAGAAGCCCCGGCUAACUUCGUG